GAGUGGGGUAAAUCAUCACGUCCAGAUGACUUGGAGGUGGAUGAAACAAAGAAGAUAUACUGCACUGUUCUUGUUUUUAGUGCUAGGAGCGUUACAGCAGUCCAUACAAUUAUCGGGAAAUUCGUGGAACGUCUUUUGAAGUGGCAAGGACGUUUCCCGCUUGCCGUAAUCACUCACGUGGAUGAUGCUACUCCAGAACAACUCGACAAUAUGCGCCUUGCGCUCAGGAUGGCUGGGAUAGUUGAUGUCUAUGAAGUCGCCAAUAUCACGAACGAGAAGAAGGAUUUGGAACCUGUGUACCAAGAGAAUCUCCUCAAACUGUUGCACAAAUGCGUCAAAGAUGGUGAUCGCAUAUUUGAGUUGCGCCAUGAGAUCGAAUUAGAAGAAGAGAAAAGAGUAACGAGGAAGAACAAGUUAGCCAAUUAGGCACAACUUCUAAACAAAAAUGUCACGUACGCCUACAACCGCAAAGGCUAAGAUAUAUUCACUGUGAUAACAACACAUAUUUGGCUUAAUAUUACUGAAUAUUGUAAGAUAUACUGUUGACUUUUUAAGUCUUUUAUUACAGCUUAAUACAUCUUAUAAUUAAGUCUUUUAUUACAGCUUAACAUAUCUUUAUUUCAGAAAUGUACAUUUCAUACCAAUACAUGUUUUAAUGAAAAGAUGAUUGGUAUUACAACAUCGGAAAAUCGCGUUAAAAGGAGUCAUACUGAAACUUUUCGUCUUACACUCAUCAGAGUAAAAUGCAAGAAUAAACAGAAAACAGAAAUCGAACAAUAUAAACGGAAACUAAAAGUUACAACGCGCAAAAUAUAACGAGCUCUUAUUUGCUGUCUUAGGUAACGGUAAAAUAUGCUUCUGGCCAGCCGGUAAUUACGGGAUAAUCGCUAAAAUAAUAAGAGCGUCCGAACAAAUUCUUUCUGUCUGCAUAGAAGAGG